UGCCCUUAGAUGUUCGAGGCUGCACGCGGGCUACAAUGGCUGCAACAAUGAGAGCAAGCGGAGCCGAGAGGCCGAGCGAACCUCUAAAAGCAGUCGUAGCUGGGACCGUGGUUUGCUAUUAGCCCACGUGAACGAGGAAUUCCUAGUAAAGGCACGUCAUCAACAUGCCUUGAUUACGUCCCUGCCCUUUGUACACACCGCCCGUCGCUACUACCGAUUGUGUUGGUCGUUGAGGUCAUUGGACCUGCGCUCUAGUGCUGUGCCUUUCGGGGCCGGCAUAUGGGUGCGGGGAAGGUGAUCGAAGCGGCAAACAUAGAGGAAGUAAAAGUCGUAACAAGGUUGUCGUAGGUGAACCUGCAGAAGAUCA
rnacentral:rRNA from 1 species